GGGUUGUGAGGUUAAGCGACUAAGCGUACACGGUGGAUGCCCUGGCAGUCAGAGGCGAUGAAGGACGUGCUAAUCUGCGAUAAGCGUCGGUAAGGUGAUAUGAACCGUUAUAACCGGCGAUUUCCGAAUGGGGAAACCCAGUGUGAUUCGUCACACUAUCAUUAACUGAAUCCAUAGGUUAAUGAGGCGAACCGGGGGAACUGAAACAUCUAAGUACCCCGAGGAAAAGAAAUCAACCGAGAUUCCCCCAGUAGCGGCGAGCGAACGGGGAGCAGCCCAGAGCCUGAAUCAGUGUGUGUGUUAGUGGAAGCGUCUGGAAAGGCGCGCGAUACAGGGUGACAGCCCCGUACACAAAAAUGCACAUACUGUGAGCUCGAUGAGUAGGGCGGGACACGUGGUAUCCUGUCUGAAUAUGGGGGGACCAUCCUCCAAGGCUAAAUACUCCUGACUGACCGAUAGUGAACCAGUACCGUGAGGGAAAGGCGAAAAGAACCCCGGCGAGGGGAGUGAAAAAGAACCUGAAACCGUGUACGUACAAGCAGUGGGAGCACAGAGCAAUCUGUGUGACUGCGUACCUUUUGUAUAAUGGGUCAGCGACUUAUAUUCUGUAGCAAGGUUAACCGAAUAGGGGAGCCGAAGGGAAACCGAGUCUUAACUGGGCGUUAAGUUGCAGGGUAUAGACCCGAAACCCGGUGAUCUAGCCAUGGGCAGGUUGAAGGUUGGGUAACACUAACUGGAGGACCGAACCGACUAAUGUUGAAAAAUUAGCGGAUGACUUGUGGCUGGGGGUGAAAGGCCAAUCAAACCGGGAGAUAGCUGGUUCUCCCCGAAAGCUAUUUAGGUAGCGCCUCGUGAAUUCAUCUCCGGGGGUAGAGCACUGUUUCGGCAAGGGGGUCAUCCCGACUUACCAACCCGAUGCAAACUGCGAAUACCGGAGAAUGUUAUCACGGGAGACACACGGCGGGUGCUAACGUCCGUCGUGAAGAGGGAAACAACCCAGACCGCCAGCUAAGGUCCCAAAGUCAUGGUUAAGUGGGAAACGAUGUGGGAAGGCCCAGACAGCCAGGAUGUUGGCUUAGAAGCAGCCAUCAUUUAAAGAAAGCGUAAUAGCUCACUGGUCGAGUCGGCCUGCGCGGAAGAUGUAACGGGGCUAAACCAUGCACCGAAGCUGCGGCAGCGACACUGUGUGUUGUUGGGUAGGGGAGCGUUCUGUAAGCCUGCGAAGGUGUGCUGUGAGGCAUGCUGGAGGUAUCAGAAGUGCGAAUGCUGACAUAAGUAACGAUAAAGCGGGUGAAAAGCCCGCUCGCCGGAAGACCAAGGGUUCCUGUCCAACGUUAAUCGGGGCAGGGUGAGUCGACCCCUAAGGCGAGGCCGAAAGGCGUAGUCGAUGGGAAACAGGUUAAUAUUCCUGUACUUGGUGUUACUGCGAAGGGGGGACGGAGAAGGCUAUGUUGGCCGGGCGACGGUUGUCCCGGUUUAAGCGUGUAGGCUGGUUUUCCAGGCAAAUCCGGAAAAUCAAGGCUGAGGCGUGAUGACGAGGCACUACGGUGCUGAAGCAACAAAUGCCCUGCUUCCAGGAAAAGCCUCUAAGCAUCAGGUAACAUCAAAUCGUACCCCAAACCGACACAGGUGGUCAGGUAGAGAAUACCAAGGCGCUUGAGAGAACUCGGGUGAAGGAACUAGGCAAAAUGGUGCCGUAACUUCGGGAGAAGGCACGCUGAUAUGUAGGUGAAGUCCCUCGCGGAUGGAGCUGAAAUCAGUCGAAGAUACCAGCUGGCUGCAACUGUUUAUUAAAAACACAGCACUGUGCAAACACGAAAGUGGACGUAUACGGUGUGACGCCUGCCCGGUGCCGGAAGGUUAAUUGAUGGGGUCAGCGCAAGCGAAGCUCUUGAUCGAAGCCCCGGUAAACGGCGGCCGUAACUAUAACGGUCCUAAGGUAGCGAAAUUCCUUGUCGGGUAAGUUCCGACCUGCACGAAUGGCGUAAUGAUGGCCAGGCUGUCUCCACCCGAGACUCAGUGAAAUUGAACUCGCUGUGAAGAUGCAGUGUACCCGCGGCAAGACGGAAAGACCCCGUGAACCUUUACUAUAGCUUGACACUGAACAUUGAGCCUUGAUGUGUAGGAUAGGUGGGAGGCUUUGAAGUGUGGACGCCAGUCUGCAUGGAGCCGACCUUGAAAUACCACCCUUUAAUGUUUGAUGUUCUAACGUUGACCCGUGAUCCGGGUUGCGGACAGUGUCUGGUGGGUAGUUUGACUGGGGCGGUCUCCUCCUAAAGAGUAACGGAGGAGCACGAAGGUUGGCUAAUCCUGGUCGGACAUCAGGAGGUUAGUGCAAUGGCAUAAGCCAGCUUGACUGCGAGCGUGACGGCGCGAGCAGGUGCGAAAGCAGGUCAUAGUGAUCCGGUGGUUCUGAAUGGAAGGGCCAUCGCUCAACGGAUAAAAGGUACUCCGGGGAUAACAGGCUGAUACCGCCCAAGAGUUCAUAUCGACGGCGGUGUUUGGCACCUCGAUGUCGGCUCAUCACAUCCUGGGGCUGAAGUAGGUCCCAAGGGUAUGGCUGUUCGCCAUUUAAAGUGGUACGCGAGCUGGGUUUAGAACGUCGUGAGACAGUUCGGUCCCUAUCUGCCGUGGGCGCUGGAGAACUGAGGGGGGCUGCUCCUAGUACGAGAGGACCGGAGUGGACGCAUCACUGGUGUUCGGGUUGUCAUGCCAAUGGCACUGCCCGGUAGCUAAAUGCGGAAGAGAUAAGUGCUGAAAGCAUCUAAGCACGAAACUUGCCCCGAGAUGAGUUCUCCCUGACUCCUUGAGAGUCCUGAAGGAACGUUGAAGACGACGACGUUGAUAGGCCGGGUGUGUAAGCGCAGCGAUGCGUUGAGCUAACCGGUACUAAUGAACCGUGAGGCUUAACCUUACAACGCCGAAGGUGUUU
rnacentral:rRNA from 1 species